UUCCUUGCUGGGAAGCUCACACAAGCAUGGGCUCACAGGCUGAUGCUCUGACAAUCCUAUACCUCUUUUAAUCCCACUCUUAGGAAAACACAGGCUCGUAUGAGCCCAGGACACGCUCCCAGGGCAGCAGGGCGUUGUCGCACUGAUGAAGAGGCGCCACAGUGUGACAGGCUGCACUCUGUAGCCAGGCUGCUGUGGCACCAGCGCACCUCAGGGGGAGAGGAGACGUCUGAAAGCCACCCUCGAGCACAAGCCAAAAUACAGCAACUCCUGAUGAAGAAAACUCCUGGAUGAGACACUAAAACAAACAGGACAACAAAUGAAUACUCCCCGCAAGCGAACUCCUUCGUUUCUCCCUCGGGCUCCCCAGCCCUCCCUACAGUGCUCCUGCUCCCGCCUUCUCGCAGCUUCGGCCGCACUCCUGGGCGGGGCCCACGCCGACCCCCGCUCACCCCCGCUCCUGCCUUCUCGAAGCUCCUGAGAUGAUGAGCUACUUGGAGCACGUACUGUGUCUAACUGCAUGCACAUUAAAUCUCCCACCACAGCCAAUGCCAGCUGUAGGUGCAACGAAAAUAAAUGAUACAGCAAAGAAACUUCACAUUCCCCGUGCCAUGAGGUAGGGACUGGAAUGUUCAAACUCUCCUUGAUGGUUCCUCUGUCCAAAUCUUAAUUUAAUGUGAGACUCAGACUCCCCGUUGUUAUCCAUGUAGCAGUUCUAGUUCUACACAGAACAUUACAGAAUGCUUUUACCAUUUGUCAGUCUUUGUAAGUUUGUCUAAACAUCUAAAAAUAGUUAAUAACAAGCUCUGCAAUUUGAGAAGCAUGCCUUGAGGGUGCCCAUAGAGAAGUGGCAUGCAUGGUUUUGGCAAGCAAAUAUCACAUGCUAAUACUACAUUAUGGGAUUAAGCAAAUUUAAAUUAGGCUUCAUUCUGUGUGCACACUGCCUUGUAAAGUCAACUUCAGUGCUUCUCCAGAAUGAGCCAAGAUACACUCAUCCACGAUGUGUCAGACUCGAUUGUUCCAGGAACAAGUUGUCUCCGCAUAGCUCAGUUAUUUUCAGGGCCUAGCUUGCCAUUGGCUGUAAUUCAGUAUUUACUCACAAUAAAAGCUAUGAAUCUGCUUUACAGGAAGUGUAAUGGGGCAUAGCAGACACUAGAAAAACUCCUAAGAGUUGUGAAGUAGAAGUAACAUCUACUUCAGUUGAAGCUUAUCAACGCUGUGGGAUUUCAGCAAUAGAGUUGCAGUUACUGAUGUUCUUGAUUAGCCCACAGAAGCCCACAGGGCAGAGAAGGAAGAACAGUAGGGUAAGGAGUCUGGCAAGUCUCCAGCUUCUGUAUCCACUAUACUUGUUAGUAAAGCUACAGUAACUCUACAGGCUGAUGUCAUCUAAAUAAAGUAGUUUUCUCUUCCAUUCAGGAGAUGUAAUUUAAUAAGUAAUUUAAUAAGGCAGAACUUAGAGUUUUGUGAAAACAAAGUUUCUAUUCAAAGGUUUUAUUUGCAUAUAGAAAGUGCUUCAAGACACAUGUACAUACAGAGGAAAACAAAGGUCGAAUACACUACUAGCAGAAGUCUAGUGCUUUUGCAUACUGCUGUGGCUGUAAGCUGACAGCUAUGUUGCAGACUUAAGAGUGAAAAACACAGGCCUAAAUGUGACAAUUCCGUAUGAAAAAGCAUCCAGCAGUGAUCACCUACGGAGCUCAGCGUGGAUGGCAAGUGUGGUGUAGUACUAAACAUAGGCAACUAUGUUUAUGCAGUUUCUUAUACAAAGAAGGAAAAUGUGUAGGAAAGAAAAACCAGCACGUUCCCUACAAAGCUUUCAAGAAAGCAGAAACAAUUUAAGGUUUCACCGUUUAGGAUAAUAGACUUUGUUGGCUUAGUUACCAGUACUGGAACAUCAGUUCGAGUUUUGCAAUUUAGCAAUGGAAACUAUCAGGUCCCUAACAGAAAACUGAUCCUGAAUCAGGCUGGUUUUCCACUGAUGGACAGUUACAAGUUUUUGAAGUGGCCGGAAGGAAUAAUGCUUUUUACAGCAGUUACCUGUUGCCAGAUUUCUAAAUAAAAACAUGCAAAUAUUUUCCAGGAAAUAAUUAUGAUGCAAUUACAUUUGGUCUUUCCAACAGAAAUAAGAAUGUGCUGUGAUCUGUUUUAUUUGAGUCUCCUUUGAUACUUUGUCCUUAUUAGGACAAUAACCAGAAAGAGGUUUUUUUUUUUUUUUACUUUGUCCCUUUCAGUUUUGUUAACUUCUUAUAAACUUUUAUUACUCUGGCUUGGAUUUUUUUUUUCAAAAAUAAUUUUCCAUUCUUCCUUCCAGUGAUGGAAGAAUAUUUCCUUUUUUCCAUUUCAUUUUCUCAUGUUCAUAUGUUCUCCUUGUCUCAACAACUUAAUAUGUAUUUAAAAUAUUUUCUGCACCAGGGUUCACAUAUUAAGAAAAAAAACCUCAAGCUUUUAUGAUGAAACUGCAAGUACAUUUUAACAAAUAUGAAGCCAAAAAGUAAGUCAUCAGUCAAACUCCUCAUCUUUACCUGAAUAUACCACAGCUUGUUCUACUCCCAGAUCCAGUAAGUCCUAUGUUAAACAGCCCUGGGGAACUACUGCUGAGUAGAUUCAGUGAAGAUUUUUCUUAAGUAAACAGUAAUACUUCUGAAAGGCCCAAUGUUCCAUAAUCUUGUCCUCAUAUUUAGUGUUUAUGGCAAUAAGAAACUUCCAAACACUGUAAUUUACUCCAAUUUUCCUGGUUUCUCCGUUCCUCCCAGAUCCCUUUGUCAUUAAAAAAACUAUUAAUGAUACCUUAUAGAUUUAUUGUCAUCCAGUAAAAAUAGCUGGAAAGUUAUAAUUCCCCAAUGAAAUGAAAAGAAAUAAGCUAGAAACAAGUAAUUAAUAAAAACACACACAUUCAAGUCUCUCUUGACCAGUUGGACAUCUGGAAAUCAGCAAAAGGUGUACAUUUGUUGUGAUUUUAUGAAAGUUCUUUUUAUUCUGACUGACUAAAAAUCUGUCUUAACACAGUAUGAACGGUCUACCUGGGUCCCACUGUAAAAGGAGAGGAAGCCAGAUUUAAAAAAAGAAAAAUAAUUCUGGACUAAUCAGAGAAGAAAACCUGCUACACAGUGCAAUUUCUCAUCUGGAAAAUACCAUAAAGUGCUCUGUCCCGUGAAGCGCUGAUGACUUCCCGAGGGAGGCUGAGAGCUAUCAGUACCAACUGCUAUUGGUCUAGGAUGUUCUGAAAGGAGCUCAAUACUGCUUUCUGUCUGCCCUUAAAAUCUGAAAGAAUUUAGUAUUUCUGUUUGACUCUAUUAUAAUCUUACUGAUCUCUGAAAUCUCAGCUUGCACCCAGAUCCGUAUUUUGAAAUAUGAUUCUAUCUCCAUCAGCACACUAGAAGCCCAGAAAAAAUUGCAAAGUAGA